rnacentral:tRNA from 1 species
GGUAUCGUGGCUCAGUGGUAGAGUGCUUGCCUAGCACGUGUGAGGCCCUGGGUUCGAUUCUCAGCACCA